rnacentral:lncRNA from 1 species
GCACUUCUAUAUACACUGUAUUACAUUUUGUAUAGAGGUUAACGGUACAUUUUGUUAUUAAUUUAAUUUUGGUAACCAAAAUGUAAUUAGUAAGGAACUUAGGAGUGGAUGGUAAGAAACAUCAUCUUCUUCUAUUUUUUCUCUCUCUCGUCUGCGAUUGCCGCCAUACACCGAUGGCCGAUCUCUCCCGUUACCCCCCCUGUAUCUUCCUGAGCUACUUUAAAUCUCGGCCAGUGAAAAAAUUAACGGUGUAAGCGACGAUCUCAUCGGAGGAGCUGUGUUUCUUGUAGACGAGAUUGCCUGAAUCAAACUCUUCAACAACAUCGUCCGUCUGGGCCCAUAAAU